rnacentral:miRNA from 1 species
AUUGGAGCCAGUCUGCAGAAGC